ACCCUCGGUUCCCGUCGAUUCCAACAUUUUUUCCGGGGGCCGGAAUUCGCUCCGGCAAGGAAGCCAUGGCGUCCGCGAUCGACCGGACCGGCUGCCAACGAAGCAGCGCUAACGGUGUACUGCGGGAAGUCUUUGGGACGCGAACAUCCUGCGAGAACCAUGGAGACGGUGUUCCCCGAGGAUCACGAGGCACAUGCCGUGAUUUGGACAGGUGGCGGCGUGACAGGUUUGUGAUGGAGACUCAUGCUGCGGAGUGGCCUGGUGGUUUCGUUUGGCGCCGAAUGGGUGCGCUCGUUUACAUCAGGUCGAGGAUGGUUUGGCAUGGUCGAGGACAGCCAAUGCACCAAGCAUUGCGUGCUGAAGGGAAUGGUAACCCUUGGACAUAGGAGAACUCAUCUUCUUUCCUCAGAUCGAAGGCGUUGGAACAAGAUGACAUCUGGCGGAUUGACAGCGGCCGGACCUACAAAAAAAAGUCUCAUCGGAGGUAGCUCCAGCAUGGACCCUUUGACGUUCAAGUCAGAUUCAUGCGCAACAAGUGGGAAAGAGCGUUUUUGAAAAAGAGAGGAGAUGUAUUUUGUCUCUCAUUAUAUUCUUGUCAAUUGUGCCUCGCAGUAUUGCCUCAUGACAUGUGAGGAGUCUGGGAGAGAGAGAGAAAGUCAUAGAGUUCCUUUCUUUUUGUUCUUGAUGAUGCUCUCGGAAACUGUGCUUGACCCUUUGAUUUUCUAAGGGCUGGAAGAUAGCGUUACUAUACAGCAAAUGGGAGCCACCCUCAUUAAUGGU